ACUGGAGCGCAAGUGCCCGAUAGCGUCCAAUCUUGGAAACUAAACAGGGCUGUGCCUGGUUAGUACUUGGAUGGGAGACCAACUUGGAAGAUCAGGGGCCACUA
rnacentral:rRNA from 12 species